rnacentral:rRNA from 1 species
UACGGAGGGUGCAAGCGUUAAUCGGAAUUACUGGGCGUAAAGCGUGCGUAGGUGGUUUGUUAAGUCCGUUGUGGAAGCCCCGAGCUCAACUUGGGAAUUGCAGUGGAUACUGGCAAGCUGGAGUGCGGUAGAGGAAGGUGGAAUUCCCGGUGUAGCGGUGAAAUGCGUAGAGAUCGGGAGGAACACCAGUGGCGAAGGCGGCCUUCUGGACCAGCACUGACACUCAAGCACGAAAGCGUGGGGAGCAAACAGG